UACGUAGGGGGCUAGCGUUGCCCGGAAUCACUGGGCGUAAAGCGCACGUAGGCGGAUUGCUAAGUCAGGGGUGAAAUCCUGGAGCUCAACUCCAGAACUGCCUUUGAUACUGGCGAUCUCGAGUCCGGGAGAGGUGAGUGGAACUGCGAGUGUAGAGGUGAAAUUCGUAGAUAUUCGCAAGAACACCAGUGGCGAAGGCGGCUCACUGGCCCGGUACUGACGCUGAGGUGCGAAAGCGUGGGGAGCGAACGGG
rnacentral:rRNA from 1 species